rnacentral:rRNA from 1 species
CAGCAGUGGGGAAUAUUGCACAAUGGGCGCAAGCCUGAUGCAGCCAUGCCGCGUGUAUGAAGAAGGCCUUCGGGUUGUAAAGUACUUUCAGCAGUGAGGAAGGUGGGUAUGUUAAUAGCAUAUUCAUUUGACGUUAGCUGCAGAAGAAGCACCGGCUAACUCCGUGCCAGCAGCCGCGGUAAUACGGAGGGUGCGAGCGUUAAUCGGAAUUACUGGGCGUAAAGCGCAUGCAGGUGGUUUGUUAAGUCAGAUGUGAAAGCCCGGGGCUCAACCUCGGAAUUGCAUUUGAAACUGGCAAACUAGAGUACUGUAGAGGGGGGUAGAAUUUCAGGUGUAGCGGUGAAAAUGCGUAGAGAUCUGAAGGAAUACCGGUGGCGAAGGCGGCCCCCCUGGACAGAUACUGACACUCAGAUGCGAAAGCGUGGGGAGCAAACAGGAUUAGAUACCCUGGUAG